UUAUGGCCCAAAGAAGAAGAAGGAACAUCUGGAUAUGGAAACUGAGCAGGUGGACAUGGCAGAAGAUGGAAACAAUCUUUCAGUCGGAACAGAGUAAAAAACUGAAGCUGGUCUGAAAACCUGGAAAGGCACAGAAAUCAAAGCAGCGCCUCCUAUCAAAAAAAACAACCGCCUUUCAUUCAACAUGUACGCAGAGACGGGGCAUGAGGGAGAAGAGAAAGUAGGACCCAGUUGCCAUGGCGAUCCAAUCAGCUUGAAACAUUUGGUCUGGUGGGUUGCUGUGAGCGUUUCUUACCUGCAUUAUAAACACGUAUACAAACAUGGAGACGCAUUUAAUCUGCACAUGACUGGACGUUUAAUGAACUGUGGCUGCAACACUUAUGUAAUUAUGUAUCUAUCUUUCCACCAUGA